GUGAGGAAUAUUGGUCAAUGGACGAGAGUCUGAACCAGCCAAGUCGCGUGAAGGAAGACGGUUCUAUGAAUUGUAAACUUCUUUUGUGCAGGAAUAAAGUGGGUUACGUGUAACCUUUUGUAUGUACUGUACGAAUAAGGAUCGGCUAACUCCGUGCCAGCAGCCGCGGUAAUACGGAGGAUCCGAGCGUUAUCCGGAUUUAUUGGGUGUAAAGGGUGCGUAGGUGGAUUGAUAAGUCAGCGGUGAAAGUUUGCAGCUUAACUGUAAAAUUGCAGUUGAAACUGUCGGUCUGGAGUGCAAAUGAGGUAGGCGGAAUGUGUUGUGUAGCGGUGAAAUGCUUAGAUAUAACACAGAACUCCGAUUGCGAAGGCAGCUUACUGGGAUGCAACUGACACUGAUGCACGAAAGCGUGGGUAUCAAACAGGAUUAGAAACCCCUGUAGUCC
rnacentral:rRNA from 1 species